UACGUAGGUGGCAAGCGUUAUCCGGAAUUAUUGGGCGUAAAGAGUGAGCAGGCGGCAAGAUAAGUUUGAAGUGAAAGCGUGGGGCUCAACCCCAUACAGCUUCGAAAACUGUCUAGCUAGAGUGCAUGAGAGGUAAGCGGAAUUCCAUGUGUAGCGGUGAAAUGCGUAGAUAUAUGGAGGAACACCAGUGGCGAAGGCGGCUUACUAGCAUGAUACUGACGCUCAGUCACGAAAGCGUGGGGAGCAAAUA
rnacentral:rRNA from 1 species